rnacentral:rRNA from 1 species
UGUGCCAGCCGCCGCGGUAAUACGUAUGUCACAAGCGUUAUCCGGAUUUAUUGGGCGUAAAGCGCGUCUAGGUGGUUAUGUAAGUCUGAUGUGAAAAUGCAGGGCUCAACUCUGUAUUGCGUUGGAAACUGUGUAACUAGAGUACUGGAGAGGUAAGCGGAACUACAAGUGUAGAGGUGAAAUUCGUAGAUAUUUGUAGGAAUGCCGAUGGGGAAGCCAGCUUACUGGACAGAUGCUGACGCUGAAGCGCGAAAGCGUGGGUAG